UCCUCAUAUGGGAAAAGAGUGGGGUGGGGUGGGGUGGGGGCUUAGAAGGAGGGUUUUGAAGCACUUUUCCUUAUCAAAAAAUACUCAAAGAUGGAUCUAGAAUUUGAAGUCAAUUUGUAAAAUUUUAUUAGAUUGGUGUGGAUUUUUGGAUUUAAAUCUUUGCAUAAAAAGUGGAUUGGGGGAUUUGAAUGAAGUUGAGAACAAAAAGGAUGAAAGGAGCAAAAAACAUGGGUAUGGAAGAUUUGGAAGGGCUUAUUCUUUCAUGGCAACAAUGGUGAAGAGGGCCUAAGCUGCAAGAAAUAUGUAUCAAAAUUGUCCUUGGCCUAACACCUAAAAGAACACACAAGGACAAUAGCAAUAACCAAAUACUAACUGCUACUGCUGCCAAAGAAAGUACUGCUAUUUCUCUAAGCUAUGUAUGUGAGCUGCUCCAAAUCUGUGACAACUUGGUUGAUUGCAUGAAGGACCAUCUUCUUUAUCUGUUACACCAGAGGAUGAAACAAGUCAGUAAGAAAUGGAGGCUUGGCUUAACAUAGUCAGAUUAAAAUAAAGCAUUUUUUAUAUGGCACCUCUAGUUUGUCUUCUCUGGCCUUGUGGCCUUUCGGCAAUGUCCUGAACUCAGCUGUGAGGCGGAAACAUUCUCGAAUGUUUUCAGGAGAAACAAAAUCAGCAGCAACUUUGGUACACGACUGGAAAGUUGAAAACAGAUGGUUGGUUACUUGAUGAACUUUAUCAUCUGGAUUUUCAUGGAUUAUAUAAGUAUGAUUCUUACCUUGAGAUUACGCACUUGGUGAGGGCAUCCUGCAGGAAUGAAAACUGCCUCUCCAAGUCUUUGCUCAAAUGUCCAAGGUUCAAUCCCUAAAAUAGUAAGCGUGCACAUCUUGAGUUUUUUAAAUAAAAUGUGAUCCUUGUUAUUGAGGAAAGAUAACGAACAGGGUAAAUUACUAACCGAAUUCUUCCUUCAGUUUUCUCUUGUGCUCCAAAGUUAAGUAGAAGCUCUGGUCAUGGAUUGGAUGAAAAACCUGAUCAACCGGACAACAGAAAGUGUGCCUAAAUUCCUUUGCAUGCUUUAAAAGAUACUCACUCAACUUGGGUACAUCUUCCCUUCUGAAAAUGUCCCACAAUGCACCUCCAGUUGUCUCUGAAACAUCAGAGGUUUUCUCCUCCCUUCUAAUGUCACUAGACAUCUUCAUAGGAUAUUCAUCAGCCUCGCAUUCGAGGCGCUCUCUUUCAUCCUGAGCUCUAUGCAUCUGUUUCACUAUUUCAAUUGCCGACCGCUGCUCAUCAGUUAUAGCCAUCUCUGCUGUGUGUGUCAAAAUAUUUACCUGAGCAAUUCAAAAUUUUAAAAUAUUAGCUCGUCAUGAAAUAAGCCUGAAAAAGUAAUGGUUGCAGUCUUUGCAGGCUUCAUCAUGGACAGAAUACAGAACUGGGAAAAGCAGUAAACUGCUACCAAGGUGAGAAUAAACAUUAAACUAGAUUGUAGCAUGUGGAUUAAUUUACCGGGAAUGUGACAAUUGUCAAACAUAUUGCAUAGGACUGGCCAUAAGGCAGAAGAGAUUGGACGAAUGUGGUUCUAUAUAUUUGAAAUAAAAUGUUUGUUUUUUUUGCUCA